GGAAAAGGGCAGAAAGAGCUGCAGGUGGAUUCAAGGAGUGGCCAGUGGUGAAGAUGCCCUACCACAGAAGCAAACCUUUCCUAGAUCUGCAGGCUCCUCUAGCCCCAUUAUUAAUGAAUAAAAAGACCCAAACAUACAGAAGUCCAGCACAGGGGAAUUGUGGCGAUGGGUGCUUUACUGUUCUUAGUCAGCUGCUUCUUUCUCCAUAGAAGUGAACAGCUCUCAUUUGGAAGACGUUUACAGAACUGCAAUUGCAAUUACUAUUGACUAAAAGGGAAAACACCUCCGCCCACACACACACACGACAACAUAGGGGUCACCAGUAUCUCGGGACAAAAGACACAUCUGCACCCAUCCCAGCUAUAUCUCUUAUACUUUCUUCCAUACAAGCAUGUUUACUGCGGACUGUCUGCAGCAUUAAAUGUUACAAUAUG